rnacentral:snoRNA from 1 species
CAAGUUCGGGUGAUGAUUACAAAUGCAUACUUGAGAUGACCAAACUGUGCUUAGUUGAACAAAAUAGUCUUUCGCUCCUAGCUGACGACCUUU